rnacentral:rRNA from 1 species
GACGAACGCUGGCGGCGUGCCUAAUACAUGCAAGUCGAACGAGAGCGCCCGGUGCUUGCACUGGUCAAUCUAGUGGCGAACGGGUGAGUAACACGUGGGUAACCUGCCCAUCAGAGGGGGAUAACAUUCGGAAACGGAUGCUAAAACCGCAUAGGUCCUUUAACCGCAUGGUUGAAGGAGGAAAAGAGGCGCAAGCUUCUGCUGAUGGAGGGACCCGCGGUGCAUUAGCUAGUUGGUGAGGUAACGGCUCACCAAGGCCGCGAUGCAUAGCCGACCUGAGAGGGUGAUCGGCCACACUGGGACUGAGACACGGCCCAAACUCCUACGGGAGGCAGCAGUAGGGAAUCUUCCGCAAAGGACGCAAGUCUGACGGAGCAACGCCGCGUGAGUGAAGAAGGUCUUCGGAUCGUAAAACUCUGUUGUUAGGGAAGAACAAGUGCUAGAGUAACUGUUAGCGUCUUGACGGUAUCUAAUCAGAAAGCCACGGCUAACUACGUG